rnacentral:rRNA from 1 species
CAGCAGCCGCGGGAACACGUAGGUGGCGAGCGUUGUCCGGAAUCAUUGGGCGUAAAGGGAGCGCAGGCGGGCAAGUAAGUCUUUCUUAAAAGUGCGGGGCUCAACCCCGUGAUGGGAAAGAAACUACAUGUCUUGAGUACAGGAGAGGAAAGCGGAAUUCCCAGUGUAGCGGUGAAAUGCGUAGAUAUUGGGAGGAACACCAGUGGCGAAGGCGGCUUUCUGGACUGCAACUGACGCUGAGGCUCGAAAGCCAGGGGAGCGAACGGGAUUAGAUACCCGUGUAGUCCCUGUCUCUUAUACA